rnacentral:rRNA from 1 species
AGUGAACGCUGGCGGUAGGCCUAACACAUGCAAGUCGAACGGCAGCACAGGAGAGCUUGCUCUCUGGGUGGCGAGUGGCGGACGGGUGAGGAAUACAUCGGAAUCUACUCUGUCGUGGGGGAUAACGUAGGGAAACUUACGCUAAUACCGCAUACGACCUACGGGUGAAAGCAGGGGAUCUUCGGACCUUGCGCGAUUGAAUGAGCCGAUGUCGGAUUAGCUAGUUGGCGGGGUAAAGGCCCACCACGGCGACGAUCCGUAGCUGGUCUGAGAGGAUGAUCAGCCACACUGGAACUGAGACACGGUCCAGACUCCUACGGGAGGCAGCAGUGGGGAAUAUUGGACAAUGGGCGCAAGCCUGAUCCAGCCAUACCGCGUAGGUGAAGAAGGCCUUCGGGUUGUAAAGCCCUUUUGUUGGGAAAGAAAUCCAGCUGGCUAAUACCCGGUUGGGAUGACGGUACCCAAAGAAUAAGCACCGGCUAACUUCGUGCCAGCCGCCGCCGUAA